GGAAGCGAGGAAGCUGCUGACGUCUGCGGCCCCGGCGUCGUGCGCAGUCGGGCCAAACGCGGCGACCGGCUCGGGUCGGUUUGGGAGCAGAGAAGUUUUCCCCCGAGUGGUCGCCAGACACCUCUGCCGAGUUGUGGCGGCCGGGCAGGGUCGCAGGGCUGUGGAGGCAGGGAGCCAGGUCGGCUGCAGGCCCGGCCGGGGCGCUCGCCCUCCCCUUCCUUUUCUCCAUCCCCUCCCCUCCCCCACGCUCACGUGCUCCUGACCCCAAGGCGAGCGAGGAUUGCCCAGCAGGUCACUGUGAAGUUGGGACACGUGAGUUGGCAGAGAUGAACUCUUCCUGCAGUGGACACCAACCCAGAGACGGCUAAGCGAGCAUUCCCGAAGUCCUGCACUCAGCUGACCAGGGGAGAAGAGCUUAUGAACUUGAUGAAAAGGUCUUGUGUUGAGCCUGUGCAAUUACCUCCUGUUCUUCCCCACAAUCCACUGAAAUGGGAAGAAAUUAAAAAGAGAGAGAAGAAAAGAAAAGAGGAAACUUUGUAGGACUGCUGUAAAAGAGGAAAAUGUACCAUUGAUGUAUAAGAAAUAUGGAACUUGGGGAAUAUGUGAAACAGAAAGGACCAAAUGGAAGCAAAAACCUAUCAGACUUGAAUAGCAGAUUCCACAUAUAGUAGAAGAAAGACUGAAGAUAAAUGAACCCAUCCACGUUUGUCACUCAGUGGUUAUUUGAGUGCAGUGUUGAGAAGGUGUGUGAAGGACUUACAGUUUUCCCUUGAACAACAUGGGUUUGAAUUGUGUGGGUCCAUUUAUACACGAUUGUAUUCAAUAAAUAUACAAAGAUAUAUGUGUAGAACAUCAUGUGCAAGACUUAUAUUGAAGUGGAUAGCCUAUCCUUACACAGACAUAGAGGGAAGGAAGAAUGAGAUGGGGUCAUCGGCAUCUUCCUGCAGCUCUGUAAAUCUGUUGACGAUUGCCAAACUCAGAAAGCCAUGUGAAAAGAGAGCGAGUCAGAGUAAGGAGGAUCAGAGGAUGUCUUUGACAGUUAUUUCUGGUGGACCAGAGCCCAGGAUACUGAUGCCAGCGUGACUCCCACUGAGCUCUCAAUCUGAAGAUUUAGCCAUUAGUACUCACUGGCCAUGGCCAUGGUCCUGAGCCUGGACCUCCUGCUCACUUUCCAUCCAGGACAGCGGUGACAGCGUGGGAUGC